rnacentral:rRNA from 1 species
GGGUUGUGAGGUUAAGCGACUAAGCGUACACGGUGGAUGCCCUGGCAGUCAGAGGCGAUGAAGGACGUGCUAAUCUGCGAAAAGCGUCGGUAAGGUGAUAUGAACCGUUAUAACCGGCGAUGUCCGAAUGGGGAAAC